rnacentral:tRNA from 1 species
GCUCUCAUAACUUAGUUGGUUAGAGUGCUCGCUUAGUAAGCGGAAGUUUUGAGUUCAACUCAAUAAGAGCA